CCGCAACCAAACUGCAUUCCAAACAAUGAUCUGGACCUGAAACAUCCAGAGCCUGAAAGGGAUCUUGAUGAAGAAAUGCCUCAGCAAGGCUCAGAAGCCAUGCAUUCUUCUUCAGUGCAAGAUUCUGAAGAGACUGAGACCAGCCAGAUUGAGAAGACUGUGAGCUGCCUAAAGCCGCAACCAAACUGCAUUCCAAACAAUGAUCUGGACCUGAAACAUCCG